rnacentral:rRNA from 1 species
GAGUUUGAUCAUGGCUCAGAUUGAACGCUGGCGGCAUGCCUUACACAUGCAAGUCGAACGGCAGCAUGAUCUAGCUUGCUAGAUUGAUGGCGAGUGGCGAACGGGUGAGUAAUACAUCGGAACGUGCCCUGUAGUGGGGGAUAACUAGUCGAAAGAUUAGCUAAUACCGCAUACGACCUGAGGGUGAAAGUGGGGGACCGCAAGGCCUCAUGCUAUAGGAGCGGCCGAUGUCUGAUUAGCUAGUUGGUGGGGUAAAGGCCCACCAAGGCGACGAUCAGUAGCUGGUCUGAGAGGACGAUCAGCCACACUGGGACUGAGACACGGCCCAGACUCCUACGGGAGGCAGCAGUGGGGAAUUUUGGACAAUGGGGGCAACCCUGAUCCAGCAAUGCCGCGUGUGUGAAGAAGGCCU